rnacentral:tRNA from 3 species
GCUGGGGUAGCUCAGCUGGUAGAGCAUCUCCAUGGUAAGGAGAAGGUCGUGGGUUCAAUUCCCAUCCCCAGCU